AGUUUUUUCAGAAAACUUAAGUUUGAAUAAAUAAAAAGGAAACCAAGUCUUCUAAACAUCUUUUAACAAUGAAAACUUCACCACAAAUUAUUUAUAAUCAUACCUGCGUUCUUAAGGGUCUUUGAUCACAAAAACUUCAAUUCUUUUCGUCAAUCUUCAUCUUCUAAUUCUUCGAGACUCCGUCCAAACCUUCACGAAAUUCGCCAACUUAUAAAAUCCUUAACAGUCUUAAGACCUAACCUACCACCCUGGCGAAAACGACUCAGAGCUACUACUACCAA
rnacentral:lncRNA from 1 species